UCAUAUCAUCUCACAGAGAAAGAAAAACUCCUACAGAGUUUCAGUGCACCAGCAAGAAUCUACUGUGAAAACCUGUGGGGUCUCAUCCUGCCUGAACGGCUAAAGAAGGAACAAGUUGCUAUGAACACAUCUGGGAAUCAAAGAAAAUGAGUAACAGGAGAACCCUGGUGCCUCCAAACUUGGAGAAGAGGAGGCUCUCGCCAGCUUUGUAUCAUGUCACAGGGAAUCCACACGACACUUCAAGGGGAAGAUUUAAAGACAAGUUUUAAGAGAAAGUCCCCUCUGAUAGAGACUGCGCAAAAUGUGUUCUAAGAGCUGGUUCCACGGAAGACCCAGCUGCUUUUUUAUACAGAUUGUUCAGCCAGCAAAGCAUUGUAUAAGAGAAAGCACAGGAGGCCUUUGAAGUUGGCUGUGUUUCUUUGGGUGGCUUAGAUUUUUCUGGGUGACUGAUUUUUGUAUAUCCAUCUUCUGGUUCUAACUUGGCCUCCAUCAAGCCAGCGACUAAGGAUCUACCUCGUUGCUCAUUAACCAGAAGGAAUGCAUACAGGGCUUUUAGGUGCUUUCAAGAACUUUACCAUUGUAACGGAGCUGAUUUAUGGUCCUGCUUUCAUAGCUCCAACUUGGUUCAAUUUGCCCAAAGAAGCGGAGGUUGCUGUCUGUACAAUGCACUGAUUACUCAUGGGUCCCGAGUGAGACACAAAGGACAAGGAAAGCCGACCACCACGAGGGCUGCUUCUUUCUCUCCCAACACAAGACUCUCAGAUAAAACAGGGAGAGCAAACCUGGGUUCUGUAGAGGCCGUCACCCCAAGAGAGUCUUUUCUCUUCGUGCACAACUUUACCUAGGCUGCAGGCUGAAGACUGUGGACAGUCUGUGCAAAUGCAAUGCCUCCACCUGGAGGCAUUGCCAAAGGGAUUUAGGAAGACACAUGGGUGGCAAUACAGAAAUCCACACUCCAAGGCAAUUGAGUAAAGCAAUCAACAGGAAGAGAGCACUUAGUUAUUACUAAUUCUUGGAGAAAUAAAAAGACACAUACUUCCCACCAGCAGGAGGAAGGCACUUCACACUUGCUCGUUAAUAUUCUCUUCUCCUACUGCUUGUUACCCAAAACCUCGUCUGUUAAGUUUCCUAAGUGCUAUUUGCAAAGGGAGAAAUAAACAUGACUUACUUCUGAGAAGGGAGAGAAGCAAGUCUUCCCGCUAUAUAUAUAGGUUUCUUCUGGGUAAAAUAAAAAGUUCAAGCAUAGAAAUCAAGGGAGAAUCAGCAUCGAUCUCAACCUUGGACCCUGAAGGAAAAGCGAUCGCGCACGCAGCACUAACUCUGCCACGACCACGACCGCUCCCUCCCCCAGCCCUCCGUCCCGUGGUGGCCAAUCAGGGACAGCGCCAGUUACUGCAGUCUUUACCUCCAGAGCCUAUCAUCUUAAAUGAGGAGACGAUGAAGCCGCAACUUUCUGCGCUCCAAAUGGAAAAGCCUGCAGCCUUCCACCUCACCAGGGGCCAAUCCCGGACCACUGCAUCGCACACAAGAAGAGGAGCAGGAGUAAUGACAACAACACAAGUUGGGGGCAAGAUUGUAUGGAAGAUGAUACCAAUUACUGCAUAUCCAGAUCACAGCUCUGAAAAAGUGGCGGAGGACAGGAAUUAAGAUGAUGAAGCUUUUUAAGUCUCUUAAGUACAACUCUUUGAAACCCACUAUCUUUCAAAAACAUUGUAAUGAUCUUGCCAUCAUGACUUCAAACAGUCUUCAUGAAACCCGCAGAGAAAGGCAUGCACAGCUUCUCAGUGGCCAGGGGAAGAGAUUCCUUUAGAAAAUUAAUAGAAAGUAGACAAGUCCUUACACGUAGCCAUCCUGUUGCUACCAUAAAUUAUCGCAUUGUUGAAGGCUUUUAUAAAAUUAGAUACCUUGGUAGCAAGAAAAAAAUGAAACCCUGUCUCAUUUAUCGGAAGGAUCAGUGGCAACUGAAAUAACUCUAUCCUGGGAGAGGAAUAAAUUUGAACCUUUCCAAAAAAAAGUCACUGAAAUGAAAAAGCCCAUCUAACCUGGUGCUUCGUGCUGGAGCCUGAGCCUGCCUCGGAGAUGGGUGCCGGUGAUAGGCACCCUGCCUGCCUGUUCCUGCAGGUCUUGACGAGAUGAUGUCUCUCUUAUCCAUCUGCUUGUCUCAUAUCCAGGCUAGAUGACAGCUAAUAGCCAGCAGCUCAGAGCAGGGAGCAGCCUAGCUGGUCUGAACUAGUUGAAAACGACGCACGUAGCUUCCUUAUCACACAUUUUGAUAGGUUCACGGCUCCCCUUACAGAUACCUGGGGAAAAAUAUCUUUGGUAUAAUUUUAAAUGCUCAGCUCCCUCCUUAAGGAGCAUUAUCAACCAUCUCGAUCUAAUUAAGUUCCAAAGAAAACUUCAAUUCCAUUGCCCCCACCACCACCCCUCCAGAUUCAAGAGCAUGGGGUAACAUUAGCUGGCUGGAAUUUGGUUUAUUUGCUGGUCUUGUCUGGACUAGAACUGUGCCUUCUGAAAUUUUUUUGAUGACUGAUAUUCCUUCUUCUUGCUCAAAGGAGCCUUUGCUUAAGCAGCUGCCUUUCACAUCCACGGUGCACACAAUGCGUGCUUGACAGUACAGCUCACACAACCAUCUGGAGACCGUACCAAGGACCACUUCGUUAAUAAGUUUUCUCGUAAAGCAUCCAGGAAGACCUCUCCUGCUUCUCAUUGCUCUACAGGCAGAAGACUCAGCUAAAGGAGCCCCACGGCCGUGGAGCUUAGCGUCUUCUAACAGACACGAAACAAACAACCAUCUGGCCUGGCACAAGCAAGCAAGUUUCUGCUUCACAGACUCAUUCGUGCCAACUUGGGUGCCUUUUCUCUCCCCCCCACCCCCAGCCGUUGCCCCAAGGCCCACAAUCUCCCUCUGCAGCCACUUCCCGAAGCCUCGGGAGGAAUGACGUGCCUGGACGGAGCAGGGGUGUGGGGAGAAAUGCUUCCCGCUGGGGCUUCAGGUGGUAGCAAGAUACCAGUGAUCAAAGAGAGAGCGGAUGCCUCGAUACAUCAGAGUGGGAGCAACAGCACCAUGCUGAGAAUGAAUCGGCCCCAGGGCAGAGGAGCAGGCUCUGCAGACGCGUGCUCACUGACGCCCUGGUCCACAGGCCCCGUCGGUGGUGGUGGGGGGGGGGCGGGUCAUGAGAAAAACCUGUAUUCCCUGAUUCAUGUGUGUAAACCGCCAGUGGAGCUGGAAAAAAAAAUGGCUGCACCAGACACAGAUUCCCUUUAAAAAUGGUUCCAUAUCCUUAAUUACAGCUUAAAGCACAAACAAAAGGAA